rnacentral:rRNA from 1 species
CCCUUAGAUGUCCUGGGCCGCGCGCGCGCUACACUGAGUGUCUGAGAUACGAGUCUGCCUGGUCCGGCAAGGUCUAGGUAAUCGCUAAAAGACACAUCAUGCUUGGGAUAGAUUAUUGCAAAUAUUAAUCUUGAACGAGGAAUUCCUAGUAAGCGCAAGUCAACAGCUUGCGUUGAUUACGUCCCUGCCCUUUGUACACACCGCCCGUCGCUACUACUGAUUGGAUGUUUAAGCGAGGUCCUCGAACUGCUAGCGACUUAGCUUCGGUGAGGUCGCAGUGUGGGAAGUGAACCUAGCUUUGGUGUCUAGAGGAAGUAAAAGUCGUAACA